rnacentral:rRNA from 1 species
UACGAAAGGUGCAAGCGUUGUUCGGAUUUACUGGGCGUAAAGAGAUCGUAGGUGGUUUGUUAAGUCGGAUGUGAAAUCCCAGGGCUCAACCCUGGAACUGCAUUCGAUACUGGCAGACUAGAGUUUGGGAGGGGUAAGCGGAAUUCCGUGUGUAGCAGUGAAAUGCGUAGAUAUACGGAGGAACACCUGAGGCGAAGGCGGCUUACUGGACCAAUACUGACACUGAGGAUCGAAAGCGUGGGUAGCAAAC